rnacentral:rRNA from 1 species
ACGCUGGCGGCACGCCUAACACAUGCAAGUCGAACGAAGUAGCAAUACUUAGUGGCAGACGGGUGAGUAACAUGUAGGUAUCUGCCCUUUGGCCUGGAAUAACACGAGGAAACUUGUGCUAAUACCGGAUAAGUCUUUACGGAGAAAGCUUUAUGCACCAUUGGAUGAGCCUGCACUUGAUUAGUUUGUUGGUGGGGUAAUAGCCUACCAAGACUGUGAUCAAUAGCUGAUUUGAGAGGAUGAUCAGCCACAUUGGGACUGAGACACGGCCCAAACUCCUACGGGAGGCAGCAGUGGGGAAUCUUGCACAAUGGAGGAAACUCUGAUGCAGCGAUGCCGCGUGAGUGAAGAAGGCCUUUGGGUUGUAAAGCUCUUUCGUCGGGGAAGAAAAUGACUGUACCCGAAUAAGAAGGUCCGGCUAACUUCGUGCCAGCAGCCGCGGUAAUACGAAGGGACCUAGCGUAGUUCGGAAUUACUGGGCUUAAAGAGUUCGUAGGUGGUUGAAAAAGUUAGUGGUGAAAUCCCAGAGCUUAACUCUGGAACUGCCAUUAAAACUUUUCAGCUAGAGUAUGAUAGAGGAAAGCAGAAUUUCUAGUGUAGAGGUGAAAUUCGUAGAUAUUAGAAAGAAUACCAAUUGCGAAAGGCAGCUUUCUGGAUCAUUACUGACACUGAGGAACGAAAGCAUGGGUAGCGAAGAGGAUUAGAUACCCUCGUAGUCCAUGCCGUAAACGAUGUGUGUUAGACGUUGGAAAUUUAUUUUCAGUGUCGCAGCGAAAGCGAUAAACACACCGCCUGGGGAGUACGACCGCAAGGUUAAAACUCAAAUGAAUUGACGGGGACCCGCACAAGUAGUGGAGCAUGUGGUUUAAUUCGAAGAUACGCGCAGAACCUUACCAACACUUGACAUGUUCGUCGCGACUCUAAGAGAUUAGAGUUUUCGGUUCGGCCGGACGAAACACAGGUGCUGCAUGGCUGUCGUCAGCUCGUGUCGUGAGAUGUUGGGUUAAGUCCCGCAACGAGCGCAACCCUCACUUUUAGUUGCCAUCAUUAAGUUGGGCACUCUGAAAGAACUGCCAGUGAUAAGCUGGAGGAAGGUGGGGAUGACGUCAAGUCCUCAUGGCCCUUACGUGUUGGGCUACACACGUGCUACAAUGGUAUCUACAACAGGAAGCAAGACUGCGAAGUUAAGCAAAUCCCUAAAAGAUACCUCAGUUCGGACUGCACUCUGCAACUCGAGUGCAUGAAGCUGGAAUUACUAGUAAUCGUGGAUCAGCGUGCCACGGUGAAUGCGUUCCCGGGUCUUGUACACACCG